UACAGAGGGGGCAAGCGUUAUUCGGAAUUAUUGGGCGUAAAGGGCGCGUAGGCGGUUCUUCAAGUCUCUCGUGAAAUCCCUCGGCUUAACUGAGGACGUGCGGGAGAUACUGAAGGGCUUGAAGUCCGGAAGAGGGUGGUGGAAUUCCCAGUGUAGCGGUGAAAUGCGUAGAUAUUGGGAGGCAACACCGGUGGCGAAGGCG
rnacentral:rRNA from 1 species